UACGGGGGGGGCAAGCGUUGUUCGGAAUUACUGGGCGUAAAGGGCUCGUAGGCGGCCAACUAAGUCGGAUGUGAAAUCCCCAGGCUUAACCUGGGAACUGCAUCCGAUACUGGAUGGCUUGAAUCCGGGAGAGGGAUGCGGAAUUCCAGGUGUAGCGGUGAAAUGCGUAGAUAUGUGGAGGAACACCGAUGGCGAAGGCAGCCCCCUGGGUCAAGACUGACGCUGAGAAGCGAAAGCAUGGGGAGCGAACAGG
rnacentral:rRNA from 1 species